GCUAGGUGUUGCUAGGGCAACUUAGCUGGGAGUCUGAUUGUGAAGUAAUUAAGCAGGGUGUAUAAAUUACCUCAGCUGGUUUUCCCCAGAAUAGGCAGUUCUCUGCAUGAAAGGAGGUGACUAGGUUCUCUUUUCUUCCAAAGUCAAAACCAGAUAGGAAACCUUUGAAGAUGCAUAGGAACAUGUCAUGGUAGGGUGGUGGGCUCCUCUUCAGAUCCCACAUAGCAGCUGGGGCCAGCCAGGGCGAGAUCAAGGGUGAAUGUAGGUAGAUGCCAGCAAGGGAAGAGCAUGAUCAGAGACUAUGAGUGGGCUGGGAGUGAGGGCAGGAGCCAGGAGGCAGGACCAGAGCUGACAGAAACCAGAGAACAGGCACUAAAGCAGGAAAAAUACCCCCACACGUGCCACAGGAGGCCAUGCCUUGCCAGUAUGAGGACUCACCAGAAUUUACAAUGAGAUGGAAUGAAGGAACUACACAGGGCUAGGAAGGGAUUCUCAAAUUGUGAUUGCAACCUGUCUACCCCUAUUAACAGCAACAUUUAUUGAGUAAAGUGUCAGGCCCUGUACCAAGAUUUAAUUUAGAUUUAAUCUAACCAGGGAGGUGAAAGAUCUCUACAGGGAGAAUUGUGAAACACUGCUCAAAGAAAUCAGAGGUGACAAAAACAAAUGGAAAAGCUUUCCAUGUUCAUGGAUAGGAAGAAUCAAUAUCAUUAAAAUGGCCAUACUGCCCAAAGCAAUUUACAGAUUUAAUGCUAUUCCUAUCAAACCACCAAUGACAUUCUUCACAGAACUAGAAAAAGAUAUUUUAAAAUUCAUGUGGAACAAAAAGUGAGCCCAAAUAGCCAAGGCAAUCCUA
rnacentral:lncRNA from 1 species